rnacentral:rRNA from 1 species
CCUACGGGUGGCAGCAGUAGGGAAUUUUCGGCAAUGGGGGGAACCCUGACCGAGCAACGCCGCGUGAACGAAGAAGUUAUUCGGAAUGUAAAGUUCUUUUAACAGGGAAGAAAGAGAAAUUUGACGGUACCUGAUGAAUAAGCUCCGCCUAACUACGUGCCAGCAGCCGCGGUAAUACGUAGGGAGCAAGCGUUAUCCGGAAUUAUUGGGCGAAAAGGAUGCGUAGAUGACAUAGUAAGUCUUUUGUAAAAAUGCUGGGCUCAACCCCGUAGGGCAAAAGAUACUGCAAAGCUAGAGUAUGAGAGAGGCAAGUGGAACUACAUGUGUAGCGGUAAAAUGCGUAGAUAUAUGUAAGAACACCAGUUGCGAAGGCGGCUUGCUGGCUCGAUACCGACAUUGAGGCACGAAAGCGUGGGGAGCAAACAGGAUUAGAUACCCGAGUAGUC